UGCCCUGAUGUGGGGGAUAACCAUUGGAAACGAUGGCUAAUACCGCAUGAUGCCUACGGGCCAAAGAGGGGGACCUUCGGGCCUCUCGCGUCAGGAUAUGCCUAGGUGGGAUUAGCUAGUUGGUGAGGUAAGGGCUCACCAAGGCGACGAUCCCUAGCUGGUCUGAGAGGAUGAUCAGCCACACUGGAACUGAGACACGGUCCAGACUCCUACGGGAGGCAG
rnacentral:rRNA from 1 species